AAACAAAACAACACUGAAAGAAGACAUUCAAAUACAUAAACCUUUAUUAUAGAAGACAUCACAAUAAGAUGCGACCACUGUACCAGGUACAAACUAUUUCACUGCUUCUAAAACAUCUGGACAGUCUGAGAGAUGUUAUAAAUCCGAUGUUAAUCUCGUUAAAUCAAACCAUUGCAGAAUGCCAAUGCUGGCUAAAAGACGAUGACAGAACAACUUUUAAAGAAAUGAUGCUACA